rnacentral:lncRNA from 8 species
AUGUCUACUUUCCUGUGUUUAGGUUCAGGAGCCAGCUCCCCACCAACCUCUCCCUCCUCCCCCACCCCUCCUCACACUACAGGAGUUGCCCCUCCACCUCCUCUUCCUCCUCCUCCUCCUCCUCCUCUACCUCCAAGUGAUAACCCUGGCCAGUCCCACGCCCCUCCUCAUCCUCCUCUCCCUGGGUCAGAUCCUCCUCCUGCCAACGGUGUGGGGCGUGGCGCCCUGCUCACCUCCAUCACAUCAUUCAGUAUAGGCAAACUGAAGAAAACGGUGUCCAUCGACCGCAGCAUCCGACGCUCUGAAGUGGAUCGCUCUUCCUUCUCGUCCUGACCCUGUGGUCCCAGUCACCCCUAAAGGUUACCUGUGGUCCCAGUCACCCCUAAAGGUUACCUGUCGUCUCAGUCACCCCUGAAGGUUACCUGUCGUCCUGACCCUGUCGUCCCAGUCACCCCUAAAGGUUACCUGUCGUCCCAGUCACCCCUGAAGGUUACCUGUCGUCCUGACCCUGUGGUCCCAGUCACCCCUAAAGGUUACCUGUCGUCCCAGUCACCCCUGAAGGUUACCUGUCGUCCUGACCCUGUGGUCCCAGUCACCCCUGAAGGUUACCUGUCGUCCUGACCCUGUGGUCCCAGUCACCCCUAAAGGUUACCUGUCGUCCCAGUCACCCCUGAAGGUUACCUGUCGUCCUGACCCUGUCGUCUCAGUCACCCCUAAAGGUUACCUGUGAUCCCAGUCACCCCUAAAGGUUACCUGUGGUCCCAGUCACCCCUAAAGGUUACCUGUGGUCCCAGUCACCCCUAAAGGUUACCUGUGGUCCCAGUCACCCCUAAAGGUUACCUGUGGUCCCAGUCACCCCUAAAGGUUACCUGUGGUCCCAGUCACCCCUAAAGGUUACCUGUGGUCCCAGUCACCCCUAAAGGUUACCUGUGGUCCCAGUCACCCCUAAAGGUUACCUGUGGUCCCAGUCACCCCUAAAGGUUACCUGUGGUCCCAGUCACCCCUAAAGGUUACCUGUGGUCCCAGUCACCCCUAAAGGUUACCUGUCGCCCUGCUCAAUCCCUUUUUUGCUCCUUCAGUUUUUUUGCUUCUAAAUUUAGUUUCCGCCCGAUGAGUUGACCCCCCCCAGCCCCGCCCCUUAAGAUUUGAGGUAGGGGACGGGGCAUCAACUCCUUUCCAAUAUGGCCGCCUGGUUUGUUCUCCCUUUAGCACAAAAACGACUGGUCAGUGGACUAUACAGGUGGUUUAAAGAUGAGGUGGCAUCAGCCAAGUCUGGUCUCUAUCUGGAAGACUGUAGUGAAUGACUUAUGAUUUCAGUGGAGCGUCCUUUCUUCUUAUUUACAGUGAAGUGACUUGAAUGGAACGUACGUGAAGCAACUGUGAGGGAAGUGAUUCAGAAAGUAAGCACAUGAACCACAGGUGUUUCAGAGGGACUGGGAUUCUGACCUGACAUCCACCAACCAACAGCAUUUCAUCACAGUGAGACGACUAUGAAAGAACUGUCCGUGUCAUCGCAGUGAGACGACUAUGAAAGAACUGUCCGUGUCAUCGCAGUGAGACGACUAUGAAAGAACUGUCCGUGUCAUCGCAGUGAGACGACUAUGAAAGAACUGUCCGUGUCAUCGCAGUGAGACGACUAUGAAAGAACUGUCCGUGUCAUCGCAGUGAGACGACUAUGAAAGAACUGUCCGUGUCAUCGCAGUGAGACGACUAUGAAAGAACUGUCCGUGUCAUCGCAGUGAGACGACUAUGAAAGAACUGUCCGUGUCAUCGCAGUGAGACGACUAUGAAAGAACUGUCCGUGUCAUCGCAGUGAGACGACUAUGAAAGAACUGUCCGUGUCAUCGCAGUGAGACGACUAUGAAAGAACUGUCCGUGUCAUCGCAGUGAGACGACUAUGAAAGAACUGUCCGUGUCAUCGCAGUGAGACGACUAUGAAAGAACUGUCCGUGUCAUCGCAGUGAGACGACUAUGAAAGAACUGUCCGUGUCAUCGCAGUGAGACGACUAUGAAAGAACUGUCCGUGUCAUCACAGUGAGACGACUAUGAAAGAACUGUCCGUGUCAUCGCAGUGAGACGACUAUGAAAGAACUGUCCGUGUCAUCACAGUGAGACGACUAUGAAAGAACUGUCCGUGUCAUCGCAGUGAGACGACUAUGAAAGAACUGUCCGUGUCAUCACAGUGAGACGACUAUGAAAGAACUGUCCGUCUGUAUUAUGUUUAUUGAAUCUGUAUUCUUUUUACCUUUUUGUUUUCUUGGAAUGAAUGGAAGGAGAUGUGAUGCUGUUGGACUGUCUGUGUUGCUUAUGUCUAUGUGCCACAUUCAUCUCUGUGCCUGCGUCAAUAUAUGGCUUGCGUCCCAAAUGGCAUCCCAUUUCCUAUAUAGUGCACUACUUAGUAGUAGUCUGCUAUAUAGGGGAUAGGGUGCCAUUUUCAAAUGCGCACAUAGAUACAAAAAAAAAAAACUAUGGACGCUGCAAGGAUUAAAACCUCAGAUUACCCAUUGUUUAGUAAAUGAGGACCGGCAGAAAUCUGUCAUCAUUCAGUAUGUAAAAUAAUUAACCCAAAUGAUGACAUGCUGUACUUACUGGUAUUAAUCAGUAACCGUAUACAAUUUAAGAUUCAAAUACCUUUUAAAAAAAUAUAUAUAUAGUUUUGCUUUUUCCUCUCCAAAAUAGCAGUGUAAAGAUGUUGAAGGAUCGACUAUUUCUCUGCUGCACUUUACCGAUAGGGAGGGAGGGGUUUUCUCUACGAUCCAGGAUUGACACACAACUGUGAGCAGUUUACUGGGAGAAUGUAUUUAAAAAUGGAUUCUGGUGUUUACAAGAAAUAAACCUAAUACUGAAAUGAGUUAACUAGCUAAUCUGUUAUUUGAUCAUCAUAAUCUAUACCUCUGCUACAUCCAACCACUGUCAGAGGAACUGAAGGGACAGUACACCCUCAAUCUGUCUGAAAAGCAAAGUUACAAUCUGCAGAACUGUCUGAAAUGCUUUGUCUUGUCAACAUUACAAGUUUAACCUGUUUUGAAGAUUGAUACAUUGGCACAUUCAGGACAAUUACUAAUUGGCUGCAUUUGCACAGGUAGCCCAAUUUAUCUUUUGCCAGUAAUUGGUCUUUUGGCCAAUCAGAUCAUAUCCUUUGCCAAUAAUUGGGCAAAAGAUAAGAACUGGGCUGCCUGUGUAAACACAGCCAUCGAGUUUCAUAUUAUCUCUGCUUAUUGUUACCAGCUCUUUACAUCACUAACAGAGUGGUGUGCACUUGUAUGUAACAAUACCCAGAAUACAUUUCCCCCUCAUUAUGUAAUUUUAUCCAAUUCCACCUCUGUUUUUUUCCAGUUCAGGGGGUCAUCUAAGUGAGGCUUCAGUAUGACAUUAUGUUUAUUUGGCAGCUCUUUCUCCAAUAAGAAUGCUCCAUAGUUUAUGUAAUUAAUAAUGCUGUUUAGUUUUUAUAAUUAAGUCUAUUCAUCAUCGCUGCCUGCCAACCUUUCUGAUUUGCACUGUUGACUAUGGAGUUUUCAAGUAAAUACUAUACCACCUUUUGGCAGUAUGGAUUAACAACUAGGUGACAGAAAAACAAAAAGAUUUUAUGAUUUGAAGAUGACUGCACUUUAAGAUGAAGUUACUAAUAUUUUCUAAACCCUUUUUGGGGGGGGGGGUUUGAGGUGGUGGGGGGUUGUAUGAAACCAUCUAUUGUCUGUCUGCUGCAUUAAAACAUAAACAAUUCAGAACUGUUUGGGGUUUGUAUGUUUGACCCUGCACAGCUGUGUCGAAAAGAAAAAAAAAUUACAAUGUUAUCUACUUUGCCGUAUUAUACUUAUUUUAUUAAAAUCAUGGACUGAAAUGUGUGGUUUGUUGAACUCUUUGCUCUGUGUGUGUUAUUUUAGUGGAUAUAAAGUAACUUGACACCCCACCUGUCACGAUCCGUAACUACAAACACAUCACAGGACCUAAGUCCCCUAGCAACCUUCACAUGCACUUUCUACUGCCUAAUGAGAUGCUCUACUGUAUUGAGGAUUACUGUAUUAAAGCCUACUGUAAACUACGGUAAUAAGUCUGACUAAAGCAACAAUGCGGCCAAUGCAUGUUCCAUUUGGGCCUCCUGAGUGGCACAUCGGUCUAAGGCACUGCAUCGUCAGGUUCGAUUCCGAGCUGUAGCACAACCGGCCGUGAUCGGGAGACGUAUAGGGCGGCGCACAAUUGGCCCAGCGUCGUCCGGGUUAGGGGAGGAUUUGGCCGGGGUAGGCCGUCAUUGUAAAAAGGAUUUGUUCUUAACUGACUUACCUAGAUAAAUAAAGGUUCAAUUAAAAAAAAAUGUAAACAAUGUUUGAGUUGAACUAAGCACGGAACUGACAGGUUUGAUCGCUUGUGUGCUGUCCAACUAUGUCAUGUACCUACAUCUGUCUAAAUAUGGUUAGUGCUGUGACUUUUGUUUUGAGCCUGCUAUGUAAAUACACUGUCUCUGUCAGUCAUCACUAGUCUGGGCUAUGCUAGCUACAUCAGAAACUUCAGCAUAGUACAUCUAAAGUGGCAGCUAAGCACAAAUAUCGGAAUUAAAGCUCUGCUAUGCUUCAUUUACGAGUAGUUGGCUUCUUUUUUUAUUUUUUGUAAAACAAAAUACAUUUCGUUGGGAUGCAAAAGGCUGGUGGUGAUGAUGCUUUUUGCUUUUGCCCUUGGAUUUUCCUAGUCGCUCAGAGUUCUUCCGCUUCCUUUCCAUGAGAAUGGUCGUGAUUGGUUUAAAACACCGAUUUCCCGAGACUAGACUCGCAAAGAAACGCUCUGAUUGGAUCUGAUCCUUUUACAGGACAAAUCGCUCCUCCC